GAUGAACGCUGGCGGCGUGCCUAAUACAUGCAAGUCGAGCGAACAGACGAGGAGCUUGCUCCUCUGACGUUAGCGGCGGACGGGUGAGUAACACGUGGAUAACCUACCUAUAAGACUGGGAUAACUUCGGGAAACCGGAGCUAAUACCGGAUAAUAUAUUGAACCGCAUGGUUCAAUAGUGAAAGACGGUUUUGCUGUCACUUAUAGAUGGAUCCGCGCCGCAUUAGCUAGUUGGUAAGGUAACGGCUUACCAAGGCAACGAUGCAUAGCCGACCUGAGAGGGUGAUCGGCCACACUGGAACUGAGACACGGUCCAGACUCCUACGGGAGGCAGCAGUAGGGAAUCUUCCGCAAUGGGCGAAAGCUUGACGGAGCAACGCCGCGUGAGUGAUGAAGGUCUUCGGAUCGUAAAACUCUGUUAUUAGGGAAGAUCAAAUGUGUAAGUAACUAUGCACGUCUUGACGGUACCUAAUCAGAAAGCCACGGCUAACUACGUG
rnacentral:rRNA from 1 species